rnacentral:rRNA from 1 species
GGAUUAGUGGCGAACGGGUGAGUAACACGUGAGUAACCUGCCCUUGACUCUGGGAUAAGCCUGGGAAACUGGGUCUAAUACCGGAUAUGACUCCUCAUCGCAUGGUGGGGGGUGGAAAGCUUUUUGUGGUUUUGGAUGGACUCGCGGCCUAUCAGCUUGUUGGUGAGGUAAUGGCUUACCAAGGCGACGACGGGUAGCCGGCCUGAGAGGGUGACCGGCCACACUGGGACUGAAACACGGCCCAAACUCCUACGGGAGGCAGCAGUGGGGAAUAUUGCACAAUGGGCGCAAGCCUGAUGCAGCGACCCCGCGUGAGGGAUGACGGCCUUCGGGUUGUAAACCUCUUUCAGUAGGGAAGAAGCGAAAGUGACGGUACCUGCAGAAGAAGCGCCGGCUAACUACGUGCCAGCAGCCGCGGUAAUACGUAGGGCGCAAGCGUUAUCCGGAAUUAUUGGGCGUAAAGAGCUCGUAGGCGGUUUGUCGCGUCUGCCGUGAAAGUCCGGGGCUCAACUCCGGAUCUGCGGUGGGUACGGGCAGACUAGAGUGAUGUAGGGGAGACUGGAAUUCCUGGUGUAGCGGUGAAAUGCGCAGAUAUCAGGAGGAACACCGAUGGGCGAAGGCGGUCUCUGGGCAU